rnacentral:rRNA from 1 species
GACGAACGCUGGCGGCGUGCUUAACACAUGCAAGUCGAACGGAAAGGCCCUGCUUUUUCGGGGUGCUCGAGUGGCGAACGGGUGAGUAACACGUGAGUAACCUGCCCUUGACUUUGGGAUAACUUCAGGAAACUGGGGCUAAUACCGGAUAGGAGCUCCUGCUGCAUGGUGGGGGUUGGAAAGUUUCGGCGGUUGGGGAUGGACUCGCGGCUUAUCAGCUUGUUGGUGGGGUAGUGGCUUACCAAGGCUUUGACGGGUAGCCGGCCUGGGAGGGUGACCGGCCACAUUGGGACUGAGAUACGGCCCAGACUCCUACGGGAGGCAGCAGUGGGGAAGAGUGCACAAUGGGAGGAAGGCUGAUGCAGCAACGCCGCGUGCGGGAUGACGGCCUUCGGGUUGUAAACCGCUGUCGCCUGUGACGAAGCGUGAGUGACGGUAAUGGGUAAAGAAGCACCGGCUAACUACGUG